rnacentral:rRNA from 1 species
UGAGGAACAUGACCUUCGGCGGGGGAUAGCCGGCCCAACGGCCGGGUAAUACCGCGUACGACCUUAUGGGGACAUCCCUGGAAGGUGAAAGCAGCAAUGCGCCGAUGGAGUGCCUCGCGGCCUAUCAGCUAGUUGGUGAGGUAACGGCUCACCAAGGCGACGACGGGUANCUGGUCUGAGAGGAUGGCCAGCCACAUUGGGACUGAGACACGGCCAGACUCCGUACGGGAGCAG